AUGCUGCAGCGGGCGGCGAGCAAUGCAUACUCAUGGUGGUGGGCGAGCCACAUCCGCACCAAGCAGUCCAAAUGGCUCGACAAUCACCUCCAAGAUAUGGAGCACCUGGUCAAGUGCAUGCUCUUACUCCUUGGAGAGGAAGCCGAUUCCUUUUCAAAGCGAGCAGAGAUGUACUACAAGAGGCGGCCUGAGGUGAUCACUCAGGUGGAAGAAGUGUACCGGAUGUACAGGGGUCUCGCCGACCGGUAUGACAUCAUGUCAGGGGAGCUGCACAAGGCAAACCACACCAUCGCUACCGCCUUCCCUGACCAGGUUCAGUAUGCGAUGCUAGAAGAGGAGGAUGACAACGUCCCAAAGGCGUUCACCCCGGUCGAUCCGCGCAAGAUCCACAAGUCGACCGUCGAUGGGCUGCUGAAGAAGAAGAAAGGAAAUGUGCCAGGAGCCGGCGGAGACAAGAAGGAACAAGCUCCGAUGAGCAAGGAGAAUGCACGAGAAGAGAUUAGCAGGCUACAGAAAGCUAUACUUGUGAUGCAGACCGAGAAAGAGUUCAUCAAGAACUCGUACGAGAGUGGCAUUGCCAAGUACUGGGAUCUUGAGAAGGAAAUAAAUGAGAUGCAGCAAAAAGCUUGCCACUUCCAAGACAAGUUCGACGUAAGCGCAGUGAUCGAGGACGAUGAAGCCAGAGCCUUGAUGACAGCGACGGCCCUCAAAUCCUGUGAAGAUACCAUUGUCAGAUUGCAAGAACAGCGGAAGACCGCUGCCAAACAGGCAUUGGACGAGUCUGAACGGGUCAAGGUGUUGAGAGAGAAGCUCAAGCCUAUAAUGGACGAACAUGGCAAGUCUCUACCGGACCUGGUGGAGAAAAACAUACGGAAGAAUCAUGUCACGGAGAUGGGAGACGUGUAUCAUGUGAAGCUGGGUGAGCUGCAGAUGCAAACGUUAGUCGACAAGAUCAAGGAAAACUUCACGAGCGACUGCAACAUCACCAUGGACGAGAUCACGGAGCAGAUCGACGAGCUUGUCAACAAAGUUGUCGAUUUGGAGCUUAUGGUUUCGUCGCAGACCUCGCAGAUCGACAGAAUGCACCGCGAAAAUGAGGAGCUGGAGAAUUCCGUCAAGAGCCUGGAGGAAGAGAAAGGCUCGAGCGAACUGGACGAGAAGCUGAAGCAGGUGGAAGAAGAGCUGGUCAGAGUGCAGGCUCUCGAAAGCUCCUUCCAUAAAGACGAGAGCACGAUACGUUCAAACUUCACCGAAACGAUAAGCAGAUUCAGUAAUUUCGCCGACAUGUUGCAGUCGCCAGUUUGCGACUACCAGGCUCCUGGUUCUGCUGCUCACAUGUCGGCGCCAACCGGCGAGGAAGCACCGCCUCCUCCGGAGCCAUCCAGCCAGAGCCAUCCACCUCCACCUGAGGAAGAAGAACACAAACAACAGGUAGAAGAAGAGAAGGCCACCGUCGUGCAGACUCCUCAACCCCAACAAGCCAGCACUGGAGAUGCUGCUGCUGUUCCUCAACCCCAACAAGCCAGCACUGAAGAUGCUGCUGCUGCUGUUCCUCAACCCCAACAAGCCAGCACUGGAGAUGCCGCCGCCGCCGCUGCUGCUGUUCCUCAACCCCAACAAGCUAGCACUGGAGAUGAUGCUGCUGCUGCUCCUCAACCCCAACAAGCCAGCACUGGAGAUGCUGCUGCUGCUGCUCCUCAACCCCAAGCUGCUGCACCGGUUUAUGUGGCGAAAACAGGGGCGGCGGCGAGCACUACUGGUGCGUCUGUCGUAGAUGGCACUAAAAAUUCAGAUCAUGGGCAUGACAAGAUUUCGCGGCCGGGUUCGCUGGCACGGCUUCGCCACAUCUCUUCUGACGUUGAUGAUUCUGAGGAGCAAAAGGAGAAGGGCGAGAAGGGGUGUGUUGACAGCGACAUGAAGAAACUGCAAGAGCGGCUCAUGGAUGGCCUGGAAGACAAGGAGAAGGUCCUGCUAUCAGAGUACACCUCGCUCCUGGAGGACUACAAGGACACCAAAAGGAAGCUGCUGGAUGUGGAGAAGAAGAACCAGGAGUGCCUCAACGAGAUCAGGUCGCUGCGCAAUCUUAUCGGAGAGAAGGAGAAGGAGAAGGAGAAGGAGAGGGAGAGGGGCAGCAUCAGAGGAGGACACAGGAGGACACCCAGCCUUAGCCAUCAGAGGAAGCAGAGCCUUUCUUCCAUCUCUAAGCUCAUCAGGAUGGGCUCAAACAUGCAAGACGACCCUCCUGCUGCUGACCUUGACGACAUGAGGCUGCCGGCGAUCGCCGAGGUGGAGAACCCGUCGCCACUGGAGGAGAAGUUCAGGCGCGACAUUGACACGCUGCUGGAGGAGAACCUCGAGUUCUGGAUGAAGUUCAGCUCCUCCAUGGGCCGGGUGCAGGAGUUCCAGAACAAGUACGACGACCUCAGGAGGGUGGCGGCGGACGGCGCCGACGGCGAGAAGAAGCUCCGGGCGCUCAAGACGGAGCUGCAGGUGUGGUCGGAGCAGAACGCGAUGCUGCGGGGCGAGCUGCAGUGCAGGUUCGCGUCGCUGUGCGACAUCCAGGAGGAGAUCUCGACGGCGCUGGAGAUGGACACGGAGCAGGCGGAGCAGGCCGAGGAGGGCGCGCCGCGCUUCACCUCCUACAGCGCCGGCAAGUUCCAGGGGGAGGUGCUCAACAUGCAGCAGGAGAACAACCGGGUCUCCGACGAGCUGCAGAGCGGCCUCGACCACGUCAAGACGAUCCAGUUUGCCAUCGAGAAGAAGCUCAACGAGGGCGUCAAGCUCUCCUCCUCCUCGCCGGCGGAGGAGGGGGAGGAGGAGGUGGUUGGGCCGGACGGGGUCCUGGCGCGGGUGCCGACCAAGGCCAAGGUGCCGCUGCAGUGCUUCCUGUUCCCGACCAAGCCCAAGAAGCCGUCGCUGUUCGCGCGCGUCACGCCGGCCGUGCUCCACAAGCAGCAGUUAGACAUGAAGUUAGACAUGAAGUUAGACAUGAAGUUCCUCCCCAAGAUGCCAAAGUAG
rnacentral:rRNA from 1 species